rnacentral:rRNA from 1 species
GACUCUCGGCAACGGAUAUCUCGGCUCUCGCAUCGAUGAAGAACGUAGCGAAAUGCGAUACUUGGUGUGAAUUGCAGAAUCCCGUGAACCAUCGAGUCUUUGAACGCAAGUUGCGCCCGAAGCCACUAGGCCGAGGGCACGUCUGCCUGGGUGUCACGCAACGUCGCCAGCGCCCAAU